rnacentral:rRNA from 1 species
GAUGAACGCUGACAAAAUGCUUAACACAUGCAAGUCUACUUGAACUUCGGUUUGGGUGGCGGACGGGUGAGUAACGCGUAAAGAACUUGCCUCACAGAUAGGGACAACAUUUGGAAACGAAUGCUAAUACCUGAUAUUAUGAUUUUAGGGCAUCCUAGAAUUAUGAAAGCUAUAUGCACUGUGAGAGAGCUUUGCGUCCCAUUAGCUAGUUGGAGAGGUAACGGCUCACCAAGGCGAUGAUGGGUAGCCGGCCUGAGAGGGUGAUCGGCCACAAGGGGACUGAGACACGGCCCUUACUCCUACGGGAGGCAGCAGUGGGGAAUAUUGGACAAUGGACCAAGAGUCUGAUCCAGCAAUUCUGUGUGCACGAUGAAGUUUUUCGGAAUGUAAAGUGCUUUCAGUUGGGAAGAAAAAAAUGACGGUACCAACAGAAGAAGUGACGGCUAAAUACGUG